rnacentral:rRNA from 1 species
GAUGAACGCUGGCGGCGUGCCUCAAACAUGCAAGUCGAGCGGGGCUAUGUAAUAUCGCAAGGUAGAGCAUAGCCUAGCGGCGAACGGGUGAGUAACACGUGGGUAACCUGCCUGGAAGACAGGGAUAACGAUUCGAAAGGGUCGCUAAUACCUGAUAAUAUCCUUUCAUCGCAUGGUGAUAGGAAGAAAGGGGAAACCCGCUUUCAGAUGGGCCCGCGUCCCAUCAGCUAGUUGGUAAGGUAAAGGCUUACCAAGGCGACGACGGGUAGCCGGUCUGAGAGGAUGUACGGCCACACUGGGACUGAGAUACGGCCCAGACUCCUACGGGAGGCAGCAGUUGGGAAUCUUAGGCAAUGGACGAAAGUCUGACCUAGCGACGCCGCGUGAGGGAAGAAGGCCUUGGUUGUAACUCUGUCAUGGGGAAGAAGGAAGUAGACGGUACCCGAACGAGGAAGACCCUCGCUAACUACGUGCCAGCAGCCGCGGUAAAAGUACGUACUAU